rfam:Triticum aestivum genome assembly, contig: Triticum_aestivum_CS42_TGACv1_scaffold_288811_4AL
CAUGUACUCCCUCCGUUCCAAAUUACUCGUCGUAGAAAUAGAUGUACCUAGAACUAAAAUACAUCUAGAUACAUCCAUAUCUACGACAAGUAAUUCGGAAUGGAGGGAGUAGCAU